ACGGGAGGCAUUUUUGGGGAAUUUUGGACAAUGGGGGGAACCCUGAUCCAGCCAUGCCGCGUGUCUGAAGAAGGCCUUCGGGUUGUAGAGGACUUUUGUUAGGGAAGAAAAGCUGGGUGUUAAUACCAUCUAGUGCUGACGGUACCUAAAGAAUAAGCACCGGCUAACUACGUGCCAGCAGCCGCGGUAAUACGUAGGGUGCGAGCGUUAAUCGGAAUUACUGGGCGUAAAGCGAGCGCAGACGGUUAAAUAAGUCAGAUGUGAAAUCCCCGAGCUCAACUUGGGACGUGCAUUUGAAACUGUGUAACUAGAGUGUGUCAGAGGGAGGUAGAAUUCCACGUGUAGCAGUGAAAUGCGUAGAGAUGUGGAGGAAUACCGAUGGCGAAGGCAGCCUCCUGGGAUAACACUGACGUUCAUGCUCGAAAGCGUGGGUAGCAAACAGGAUUAGAUACCCUGGUAGUCCACGCCCUAAACGAUGACAAUUAGCUGUUGGGGUACUAGAUGCCUUAGUAGCGAAGCUAACGCGUGAAAUUGUCCGCCUGGGGAGUACGGUCGCAAGGUUAAAACUCAAAGGAAUUGACGGGGACCCGCACAAGCGGUGGAUGAUGUGGACUAAUUCGAUGCAACGCGAAGAACCUUACCUGGUCUUGACAUGUACGGAAUCUCUUAGAGAUAGGAGAGUGCCUUCGGGAACCGUAACACAGGUGCUGCAUGGCUGUCGUCAGCUCGUGUCGUGAGAUGUUGGGUUAAGUCCCGCAACGAGCGCAACCCUUGUCAUUAGUUGCCAUCAUUAAGUUGGGCACUCUAAUGAGACUGCCGGUGACAAACCGGAGGAAGGUGGGGAUGACGUCAAGUCCUCAUGGCCCUUAUGACCAGGGCUUCACACGUCAUACAAUGGUCGGUACAGAGGGUAGCGAAGCCGCGAGGUGAAGCCAAUCUCAGAAAGCCGAUCGUAGUCCGGAUUGCACUCUGCAACUCGAGUGCAUGAAGUCGGAAUCGCUAGUAAUCGCAGGUCAGCAUACUGCGGUGAAUACGUUCCCGGGUCUUGUACAUACCGCCCGUCACACCAUGGGAGUGGGGGAUACCAGAAUUGGGUAGACUAACCGCAAGGAGGUCGCUUAACACGGUAUGCUUCAUGACUGGGGUGAAGUCGUAACAAGGUAA
rnacentral:rRNA from 1 species